rnacentral:lncRNA from 1 species
GGACUUAUUGUAUAAUUAUAAGAUAAUUACAUAGAUGGGCUUAUGGACUCCAUAGAAGGUGGAGUGGACGAAUUCUAUGGGGGAAACCCAUUAUAAGUCGUCCAAGGCUUCUAAAGAAGGGGUCCAUGGGCUGCUUAGGGCUUAAGCAGUCAAAUUAGGGUUUCCUCGUUAGAUAACCCUAAUUGCAUAAGUAUAUAAAGAGCCCUUAGGCACCAAAAACGCGGGCAACUAAAGGAUUAGGGUUUCCAGCCAUUUUGGUGUCUCCCCUCUCUUCUCUUCUUCAUCUUGUUGCUUAGUGGUGUUUGUGACUCCAUUAGAGGUGCAACAAUUGAGGCACUAAGCUUUUUAAGCCAAUCAAAGUAAGGAAUUGAUUGUUAUUGCAAUAUAACAAUCAAAGGUAAUUACUAAACCCUUAUUUCAGUUCUUAUAUGAUAGAUCUAGGGUCUAUAGCUUUGGAUAUUCAAUUGCAUGUUCAUUAGACAAACGAGAUCCUAAAGCUAUUAGGGUUUGCAUGUACACCAUAGGAUUGAUGUUUUGCUCAAAACUCAUCAGUGGUAUCAAAGCCUAUGGAUGUUUGUUAGUGAAUUUGAUGCUUGAUUGAUCGUUUUUUGCUUGGAAAACGAAGUUUUUUGGCUUCUGCUUGUCCGACUCGGCGAGUCAGAAGAUGAACUCGGAAAGUAUCCAGUCUCUGACUCGGCGAGUCCGAGGAUCUGGCAGCGUUUUUUUGGCAAUUUUCUUGCUGUUUUGGCUUGGGAUACUUACCAUAAACGUUUUUAAUUAAUAAAAUCCGAUUUUUAUUGAUUUUGGGUGAAUAUCCUUACUAAAAUAGUGGAUAAUUACCAUUUAAUCAAAUAUUUGUUACCUUAUAAGAUAAUAUUUAAUUAUUUGAGUUAUUUGAUGAUUAUCCUGCAAGAUUUUUGACUAGGUCAAAAUAAGAUAAUUGCCUUGUUUGAAUAGUUUCAAAUUGCACCCUUUAGGUUUUAUAGUUUAAAUUUGAACUUAAAAGUUUUGUUUUUGAAUUUUGAAUAAGUUAAACCCUAAUGUUUUGAAAAGUUUCAAAACUUGCCCUCAAGUUUUGGAAUUUAAAUUUUUGAUUAAAAGUUUAAUUUUGAAAUAUUUAAGUUCUAAACCCUAAUGUUUUGAAAUGUGUCAAAACUUGCCCUCAAGUUUUGGAAUUUAAAAGUUGAUUAAAAGUUUAAUUUUGAAAUGUUAAAUUCUAAAACCCUAGUAAUUUGAAAAGUUCAAAUCACACCCUUAUCGUUUUAUUAAUUAAUUAAAGUGUAUAAUUAAAGGUGAUUUAAUAAACCCAUAAAGUUUUGGUUUACAUUUAAUUAAAUUAAAAGUAUAAUUUACUAAAUUGAACCACCUAGUAUUUUAAAAGUGUAAAAUACACCCUAUACUAUAUAUAACAUUAAAAGUCUAAUAUUAUAUAUAUGUAUGAGUAAACAGUCAGUCUUACCGUUAGUAGGCCUCAUUCACGAAGCUGGUCUAUAAGGGGUGUUUAAGGAAAUUGCCUAUAAAAUGGCGAUUGAAUGGGUAUCCACUCUUACCCACCGCACUCUUGACUAGUGGAGGGUCGUUAGCCGAACGGGUAGGAUAGGACAGAAACCUUCCAUUAUAAGUAUAAUGAAGUACAAAGUAACUAAAUGCUUUUUCAAAUUCCCAAAUCAUAGUUACUUUAGGCAAAAUGUGAAAUUGUAUGCUAACCCAUGGAAUUACACUUCGUACCCUUGUCAAACGUUAGUGGAGCGUGUGUGGUUAACCGGCACACUAAUUUGGGGAUGACAUUGGUAGCGAAGGGUGACUCGAUGUUUGUCAUAGAUCAAUGGAGCGUGUGUGGCUAACCGGCACAUUGAUUAGGUGAUAGUAGCAUUGGGUGCACCACGUGAUUCGUAUGGUUAUUCACACCUUGUUUGUGAUCCUCGGCAUCCCAGUCACAAAUAGUAGGGCAUAAUCGAGAUUAAACAUGCCAUUGAAAAGUUCAAUGAAUCUCAAAAGAUCUAGGAGUUUCAAUUCAUUUAAAACUUAAACUUCUUUUUCGUUUUUCAUGGUGGAAAUUGGUAAAUCGUCAUUUACCUACCUUCAAAUAUUCUGCAACUAGAUUACGGCAUCCCUCUUCUAGGUUGUAGAGUAUUGUGUUGGAUCCUAGCUUGAUGUUUCAUUUGGGUGUUGCAUCAAGAAUUCUAAUCAACUUAACUUGAAUUUUCUCCCGUUUUGUAGAUGUCUGAAUCUUACAAUGGUCUUCCCAAAUCCUUUGGAACAAGCUUUCCAAAUGAAGAUGACGUUCCGAGAUACGAUCAAGGAAAUGAGAGUCAUGCUUCACUUCCUCCACCUCCUCCAAUUGUUCUCCCUGACCCACAAGUUCAAAGGCUUGAAAAGUUCGAGCUCACUCAAGCCCUAUUGGCAAUUAAGCAUGAAGAUGGAGAAUCAGUGUGUGAACACGUCGUAGAGAUGAAGUCACUCAUUGAUAGGUUAAGGAUGUUGGGUGUCGAUAUCUCAGAGAUGUUGACUGUUGAAUGGGUUCUUUAGUCACUUCCUGAAUCAUAUAGUGAGUUUGUUAGAGAGUACUAUAUGAUGGAUCACGACAUGACCCUCAUUGAUCUCACAUAUUUGCUUAUAGUUGCUGAAUCAGCAAUGAUUUGGCGUGCUUGAUAAGCAAAUUUGUCUGGUGAAUCAAACUCCCAAACUUUAAUGGGCACUGGCAACAUUGGAAGUCCAGAAAGAACUAAGUAUGUGAUUGUCCGAUGUGUUGUGCCAAAGGAGUCCAUUUGCUUUUAUUGCCAAGAGAAGGGGCAUUGGAGACGAAGCUGCCCUAACUACCUGAGAGAUCUAAGAGAUGGGAGAGUCAAGANNNNNNNNNNNNNNNNNNNNNNNNNNNNNNNNNNNAACUAACUCUUUUAAGUUCCUAUUCUAGAUUCUUAAUACAUGAUGUGAUAAGAUUACAUUUUGAUGUUUUGUAGGAUCGAAGAAAAGAGAGGAAGCUUAAGGGAAGACGUGAGCUGAAUCUAAUCGUGAAAAAAGUGGAUUUUGAUCGCAUUGUUUGAAGAUUGGAUUUUUGAGCUACUACUUGGAGUUAGAAUAGAUAGUUAAGAAAUAUGUAAUAACAUAGUUUUUCAAUUGAAUUGCAUUGUAAGGACAAAUUUUUUCCGCAAUAAAAUGAAUUUUGAUUUUAUCUUAUUUAUUUAUCCUUGCAAUGGCAUGUAUGAAAAAUUGAUGUUUGAAGGUUUCUAUUAUUAGCAAUAAUGGAUUUGAUUCUUGAUUAUGUUAUUUGUGGAGAUGUCAAGAAUUCACCAAAUAGGGAGAGUUUCUCAUCGCCCAAGUUUCAAUUGGACGGAAACUUGGAAUCAUACAACUUGGUUGCGUGAUGAAUGAGAAAUUUCAUAUUUGGAAAUUAGACUAAUUCUUUGACAAAGUGUCAAGUGAAGGACUAGAAAAUCAAGUAUACUAGGUUGUGCAUUGAUUUAGUCCACCACAAGAGUGAUAAUAAAAUAUUCAUCAUGAUUUACUAAAGUUUAGUAAAUAUGAUAAGAAUAAGUGUAAUUAUGAGUUAUGUGAAAGAGUUUCAAUGAAUAGCAGAACGAAUAAAGAAGAAUCAAGUAGGCAGAAAGAUAAAAGUUUCUCUAUUCUAAGAACAAGGGAGAGUACCUUUUAUUGUGUUUUAUGAUAGGUCUUAAUGAUUAAGAACCAUGUCUCAAUUGAUCCUCUAAGUGAGUCUUAGUGAAAUUGCAUGUCUAAGAAAAGGAAUCGAGAAUUGUAGAAAUGGUUAAAAAUCAAGAAGUCAAUCAUACUUCAUUCCAAUAUCAAGUCUUAGAGUCAAGAUUGUGACUUGAAUGAAAAGUUUUAAGUAGGUUUGUAAAACUUAUCAAAUGUAGAAUAAGAAAAGUUCUUAUUCUUGUACAUUUGAAAUUGAUAAGUUGUGAUGUCUUCGAUAAGACAAAGACCAACUAGGACCAAUUUGUGAAGUGUUUUUGUCUUGAUAAUAACUGCACUAACUCUUGAAUAUUUGAUUGUCAAGAAAUGUUUCUUGACAAGGAGAAUCAUAUAUGUCAAGAGGUCAGUGGGAGUUUUAAUGAUCUUGAAAAAGGUUUCAAGAACAAAUCAAGAAUAAACCUUAUCAAUUAUCACCAGCACAUGACUUGAGGUUUACAACCUAUCGUGUUGACAUUAUUUAGUUUUUGUGUCAUUCCAAUUGAGUUAAUUAUGCAUGUGAGUUCUACGAGUUCUCAUUUGAAUGCAUAAAGACAAAGUACCUUGAUCGAUGGAAAGUAAAUUGAUAUGUAAGGAUAAGUUGCUAAACUACUUAGAAGACAUGGUGGGCACUCCUGUUACCAUGAGGCAAGAAAUCAAGAUUAAGAAAGUUUAGUCCAUAUGAGUUUGGAUUUGUCGCAGACCUUGGUAUUAGCAAAUUCACAUGGAUAGGAACUCAUACACCAUAAAAUCUAAGUGUCAUAAGAUUCCCUCCUUCAUGAAAAUGACUGUGAGGAAAUGCUUUCACUAAGAGAGAUUUUAAGAAGACAGCAGUUGUGAGAAUUGUAUUCUCAAAUUCAAUUAUGGUUACGACAUCCCUUUCCAUAGUUCGAAUUGUGAGAUUUGGCAAUUAGUCUAACAUUUGGAACUUAUUGAUAUAAAUUAUGAAUUUUUUAGACACACAUAUGAGCUAUCUAAAGCAAAGGUGUAUAAGUUUAAGAAGCUUAGACAAAGGCUUAUCGAAGCAUCUGGUAUUAGAAAUAUGAACUUCAGAAAAUCAAUAAGCAUUGUUUUCUGAAAGUUCAACUGUUUUCUGAAUACAUGUCAAAGCUAGUGGGAGCAUAAGUGUUAUGCUUAUAUGAUAAUAAUCAUCAUGAUAGUGGGAGCAUAAGUGUUAUGUUUGUAUGAUUAUUAUGGCAAGUAUUGCAAGUUAGCAAUAUUAAUUAUAGAAAAACAAAGAUUCAAUUUGCAAAGUUGCAUGGUUUGAAAAGUUGUUUUGCUAUAAUUAAGGUAGAGAAUAUUAUACUUCGUUUCAAAAUCUAAACUUAGAUUGAGAAAUUUUAAUAAAUUUAGUCAAAGGAUACAUAGUGUGUUCUCAAAUUUCGAUUAUGAUUACGGCAUCCCUCUUCAUAGUUCGAAUUGUGAGAACGUGACACAUAAAAUAUUAUGGUAGAAGAUUGAUAAAGUAUAAUAUAUUUAUGUAAGACAUUAUGCAUCGUGUCCCAUACGCUUCGGGUAUAGGAUCGAUUGCAAAUGCUAUAAUAUUUGACCAUUCUAAAAUUUUCCAAAUGUCUAGCGCAUUAAGAGGGAAAAAGGACUAGAAUCGGUUUUGACUAAAAUAAUUAAACAACUAUCAAAGGACGAUCCAAAGUUCACUGAGGAUUGGUCGCUUGUGAGUAGUUGGAAGUAUGGUAUUGGAUGGACCAUAUCGACAUUAUUAUGAAUAGAUAAGAUUCUAUUAAGAAUAAGUUGUCAUAUGGCAAAUGUGGAAAUGUUUCCAUAUUGGGAGUUGGAUAUUGAGAAUCUAUGUCUAGAUUAGAAACUUUUAUGCAAGAAGGAUGUUCAAAGGAAUGUACUUUGAAUGUGAGACUUCGCGUCUAUGGAAUUGUCUUGUAACAAUUUCUGAUAGAGUACUUUGUAAUUUCAUUAGCCAGGUCUUGGUGACUUUUGUGCUAUGACUUUGCGAAAGGAUCAUUGCAUAAAAUGUUAGAAUCUAGUGUAUUCUAGUAGUGGCAAGAACAUUGUGUUAUAACACUAAUGAUAAGGAUUGGGAAUUGUGAAAUAAGCGUCAUUUGAAAGGUUUUUCAAUUGAUCUAUUUCACAAAGUAAGGAACAUAGCAAACAUAGUGUACAUGCUUUGUGCAUGGGACAGCUAUUGUUGUAAUUCAAGUAAUGAUUUGAUUAUCCGAAACAUUAAAUGAUAAAUAAUGAGUAAUCAAUAUGGUGGAUAAAUAGAAGUGUUUUAUUUACUCUCACGAGUUUGGGGCCAUAUAGGAUUAAGUAUUAUUGCUAUGUUUUAGUUUGCAUGUUUUGACUUCCAGAAUAACUGGGUUAUUCGAACCUCCAUAAUCAUUCAUACGUUGGAAGUAGGUAUGAAGGAAGACUGUCAUGAAGAGUCUGUAGAUUGUCUGAAGAGUUUACACAUAGCACGAGGUUGCUGUAGGGUUCAUGAGUGCUUUGAUAAGAUUAGAGUAUUGGAUUAAACCCACACUCACUUAGAUCACUUCAUAGAUUUAUCACGGGUGAUUAGUGAGAUGAUAAUAUUGUAUAUUCUUGAAAUCGAGACGUGUGAGUUGUUAUUUGUUGGUCGGUUGCGCAUCGAUAAUAAGUAAACGCACCAGUAACUUGGUGUUAUAAAACUUAUUGUUGUGUGUGACUCGAUCAGUGAAUGCAAGCGAGCAUUUGAGUCAAAGUUUAUCCAUUCCUUUUACCCAAAGUGGGAUAAAAGCGAUAUUUGUGGGCCCCUCGAUGAUUUAGUGAUGACACCUAAGCGCUUGGCCAAGCCGGGACUAAGUUGAUGUGUUCAAUUGUAGUCUAUUAUCAGUCAUCAUAAAUCGGAAGUCGGGAAACAGUAUAGAGAGAAUGAUUGAAAUUCAUGUCUUAUGUCUAUAUGAUAUCUUGAGAAUGGAGGAAUAUAUAAUCCCUUAUCUAAAGGACACGCUAUCUGAUAAGAUUAGAGUUGACAGCGGCUUUUGAAAGCUACGAUUGCUGAUCAGGUUCUGAAGUCAUACGGAAAAUAGUUAUUAGAUUUAUCCAAGUGGGAGUGUGCUUGAUUAGUGUCUCAGUCCAUAACUAUUUUGGUAUGUACUUGACCCAAUUAUGAGCAUGGUCCUUUUGGGUUGCCUUCACCAUAGCAAUAUGUUGGAUGAAUUAAGAAGAGAAAGGUUUAAUGAUGAUUUAUUAAUAUAUUAUAAGAAUAAUAUCUUAAAGGAGAAGUCAUGAUGUUUAAUUAAUAUUAGUCAAGAAUUAAUUAAGUGACUAAAAGAGAUUAAUUAAACUUAAGGGACUUAUUGUAUAAUUAUAAGAUAAUUACAUAGAUGGGCUUAUGGACUCCAUAGAAGGUGGAGUGGACGAAUUCUAUGGGGGAAACCCAUUAGAAGUCGUCCAAGGCUUCUAAAGAAGGGGUCUAUGGGCUGCUUAGGGCUUAAGCAGUCAAAUUAGGGUUUCCUUGUCAGAUAACCCUAAUUGCAUAAGUAUAUAAGGAGCCCUUAGGCACCAAAAACGCGGGCAACUAAAGGAUUAGGGUUUCCAGCCAUUUUGGUGUCUCCCCUCUCUUCUCUCUUCAUCUUGUUGCUUAGUGGUGUUUGUGACUCCAUUAGAGGUGCAACAAUUGAGGCACUAAACUUUUGAAGCCAAUCAAAGCAAGGAAUAGAUUGUUAUUGCAAUAUAACAAUCAAAGGUAAUUACUAAACCCUUAUUUUAGUUCUUAUAUGAUAGAUCUAGGGUUUAUAGCUUUGGAUAUUCAAUUGCAUGUUCAUUAGACAAACUAGAUCCUAAAGCUAUUAGGGUUUGCAUGUACACCAUAGGAUUGAUGUUUU